GCAAUGACCAUCAGGGGAAGAGAUUAGGGGUGCCACCUUAGAGUUUGCCACACGGUCUUCCUAAGAAAACCAAGAUCUAGAAUUUCUAGUAGAAUUUUCUUUUGUUCGUCUAAGAAUCAAUUGAUUCUUAAUUCUAAGCUUGAAGUGUAACUGCAUUUUUAUGGGUAAGAAAGAUCAACCGUGUGAACCAAGCUGAGUAUCUUCACCAGCCCCUGAGUUGCUGCACUGUGAACUGGGUAUACAGACUGCUAAUGCUUUGUUAGGAGUUCUUUCAACAUGGAAACUACUUGAUACAUCAGCUUUGAAGCAAUGCGGCAUACGCAUGCUCUAGAAAGGUAAAAUGCUAAGGUCUGUCCUGCUGAAGAGUCCAGUGGCCACACCAGUUUCACAUUACACAGAACACAGCUUCUUCACAACCUCUGACCAUCUCCAUCCUCUGAAGUGGUCCACUGGAUCUAAUGUCCCAACAUGCUGUGCUAUUUGUAACAUGCUGAGGGCUCUGCCCCACUU
rnacentral:lncRNA from 10 species